UUGUUAACCACUCCUACUGUAACGCACAAGCCGAUGUACUGUAACUACAAGCCGAUCGAGUUUUGGGCGAGACUUUUUAUUUCUCUUGCCAAUUCCUAUCGUUCGUACUCCCACUAGUAUCUGAUAGCCGAGAAAAUCGACUAUAGCUUUCUGUCUUGUUUCUGUGCCGGCUUAUUGCUAUUUGUUCUUUUUAGCAUUUUAAUUUAUACAGAAGUCUAUAUAUGUAUAACAAGUCCCAGAUCUAAAUUUACCUGAAGAUCAUAUAUCAGAUACUAAAACAACUAUUUCCCAGAUUGCAUUCGAUCUCGGGCAGCGGGGAGGCUUAGCCAUGCCUUUAAAGCUGGUUCAUUUAGACAAUUUAAGUUGGGGUAGCCUGGCAAAAAAAUUUAAAAAGCCUUUGAAACACAAAUAUAGCUUAAGUUGCUUGGCAACUGUGGAUGUGCAGCAAGCUAAAUUUUGCAAUAAUCGAUGGUUGGUUUCCAGGACCUGGGAACUGGAAGAAAUUUGGUUGAAUGAACUAUAAAACAUUAAAGUUUAAUCAAACAUAUUUGUGGAGACAAAAGAUAUUGUUAUCUCCUAGCUGGUGUUGCACUGGCUAUGAUCGGACUACCACAGCAUAUAUACAUAAACAUAACGUCGUCACUACGCGUGUACCAGCAAAAGUAAGAGCGCUGCCUCUUAUACAAAAACUAAAGAGUCCGCAGUUCCUCAAUAAAAAAGAAAAGACAGAGACACCUAGCGGUUGGUAGGUAUACUCAAUUUCAUUCUGACCCUUCACUACAUACUGAGUAAGUAACGGGCACUUUUUAUUUUUAACUAAUGCUUUAAAUUUUAUAUAUAUUUAUUUUAUUUUAAGGUCAUUUAAAAUAAUUUAAUUUAUUAAAAGUAGGCACAAUUAUGCCAAAUCGUAUCUUCCCCAGUACAGGUGAAAAGGCAAAAUGCUUUAGCAUAGCUUUUUCAAACUUACCUCAUACGAAACAGGUUGUGUGUACAUACUUUUAUUUGUAUGUUAGCAUGUAUAUAAAUACGUAUUAGCGCACUUACGCCAACGCCAUUGUCAUUUUGUAGCCUGAGUGUUUGUAGUUCGGCCCGUUCCACGCAAUCUUGGUUCUCAGUUUAAAGUUCAUCACGUAAAUGUUUUAACAGUAUAUUUUAGGUUUCAGGUAGUAAAUACGAAUGAGCUGGCGACGAAAUGGCAGUAGUCGCAUUUUUUCGAUAUGUCUACUGCAUAGGGAGCAGCUUUGUUUUUCUAUUCCUGACUGUUUCACGAUUAUAUGGUUCACUUUUUAUCCUUAAAACUAAUUACAUGAAUUAUUUCCUACUACUCAGUAGCAUUACUGUUUCAGCAUUCUUUUCAGCAGCUUCGUUUUCUUUGACAGCCUGGAGGAGAAUGUAAAGAUGCGGCAGAUUUAGUUAGUUUAGCCGCUUGAGCUUGGAAAACGACAGUUGACUACUCCGCAGGCCGUUUGCCACUGACGCUAAUGGUCCGAAUAUGGGAGUACAUAUUCCUGUGAACUCUUUACAGCUUACCAAACACUUAUGAUUCAAGCUUUCAGAUACUCUGGCCUAGGACCAUUAUCAAUUGGCGUGCACGACAUUUCAUCAGCUUUUUACGUGUACGACUUUCCCAUGGAGGUGCCCCAACCUAGAAUCAGAUCCAAAGUGCAAACGUUCUGACCAGGGGGGUGAAUCAACAGGCGGCUGGCUCAAUAAAGACCCUUCCAGAGAAACGCAGAUACUGGAGAUGGGGUACUUUUUUAUUCAUAGCUGUUUUUUCAAUACUGUUUUUAUGUUCAUUCCCUUCUCAUAUAUUUCGUAUACAUUUUUUUUCGGUGUCCGAUUUUUUUUAUGUAUGGGCUGUCCAGUAUUAACACGUCUAAAACAGAGUACAAUUCUGACCCCAAUUAUGGUAUAAUAAACUUGCAGAUUUGGGGUGCGUUAAGAGUCGAAAUUCGUGGUAAAAAUCGAACGCAAUAAUGGAAUUUUUUAUAUAAUUUUUAUUAAUAUUAUAUUAUAUUUAAUGCGGACGAUUUUAGUUUAUUUUUCUAUUUUUGGUUUAACAUCAAAUCCUCCCUAAAUGCUUUUACUAAAUGGAAAUAAACAUAAAAUAUA